CGAACGCCGGCGGCAGGCUUAACACAUGCAAGUCGAACGCAUCGCAGGAUGAGUGGCAGACGGGUGAGUAACGCGUGGGAACAUACCCUUUUCUACGGAAUAGCUCUGGGAAACUGGAAUUAAUACCGUAUACGCCCUACGGGGAAAGAUUUAUCGGGAAGGAUUGGCCCGACGUUGGAUUAGCUAGUUGGUGGGGUAAAGGCCUACCAAGGCGACGAUCCAUAGCUGGUCUGAGAGGAUGAUCAGCCUACAUUGGGACUGAGACACGGCCCAAACGUCCUACGGGAGGCAGCAGUGGGGAAUAUUGGACAAUGGGCGCAAGCCUGAUCCAGCCAUGCCGCGUGAGUGAUGAAGGCCUUAGGGUUGUAAAGACCCUUUCACCGAUGAAGAUAAUGAC
rnacentral:rRNA from 1 species